UACGUAGGGUGCGAGCGUUGUCCGGAAUUAUUGGGCGUAAAGGGCUCGUAGGCGGUUUGUCGCGUCGGGAGUGAAAACCUCGGGCUUAACUCGGGGCUUGCUUUCGAUACGGGCAGGCUCGAGUUCGGUAGGGGAGACUGGAAUUCCUGGUGUAGCGGUGAAAUGCGCAGAUAUCAGGAGGAACACCGGUGGCGAAGGCGGGUCUCUGGGCCGAUACUGACGCUGAGGAGCGAAAGCGUGGGGAGCGAACAGG
rnacentral:rRNA from 1 species